AUGGUGUAAGAGACAGCAGCUGCACUAUUAGACUCUGAUGGGUUUAGUCUGGUACCAGACUACUCAACUCUGACCAAGAGUAACACUUGAAUGGAUCUUUGAUUUAUUCAUGCAGUUGCAGGUGUGAACAUACUAGUAGUUGCCUGAUGUUCAUGUAUGAUGCUGCACACACAU